CCUACGGGGGGCAGCAGUGAGGAAUAUUGGUCAAUGGACGAGAGUCUGAACCAGCCAAGUAGCGUGAAGGAUGACUGCCCUAUGGGUUGUAAACUUCUUUUAUAAAGGAAUAAAACGAGGCACGUGUGCCUUUUUGCAUGUACUUUAUGAAUAAGGAUCGGCUAACUCCGUGCCAGCAGCCGCGGUAAUACGGAGGAUCCGAGCGUUAUCCGGAUUUAUUGGGUUUAAAGGGAGCGUAGAUGGGUUGUUAAGUCAGUUGUGAAAGUUUGCGGCUCAACCGUAAAAUUGCAAUUGAUACUGGCAGUCGUGAGUACAGUGGAGGUAGGCGGAAUUCGUGGUGUAGCGGUGAAAUGCUUAGAUAUUACGAAGAACCCCGAUUGCGAAGGCAGCUUACUAAACUGUGACUGACAUUGAUGCUCGAAAGUGUGGGUAUCAAACAGGAUUAGAUACCCUUGUAGUC
rnacentral:rRNA from 1 species